GUGGGGAAUAUUGGACAAUGGGCGAAAGCCUGAUCCAGCCAUGCCGCGUGUGUGAAGAAGGUCUUCGGAUUGUAAAGCACUUUAAGUUGGGAGGAAGGGCAGUAAGUUAAUACCUUGCUGUUUUGACGUUACCGACAGAAUAAGCACCGGCUAACUUCGUGCCAGCAGCCGCGGUAAUACGAAGGGUGCAAGCGUUAAUCGGAAUUACUGGGCGUAAAGCGCGCGUAGGUGGUUUUGUAAGUUGGAGGUGAAAUCCCCGGGCUCAACCUGGGAACUGCCUCCAAAACUACUGAGCUAGAGUACGGUAGAGGGUAGUGGAAUUUCCUGUGUAGCGGUGAAAUGCGUAGAUAUAGGAAGGAACACCAGUGGCGAAGGCGACUACCUGGACUGAUACGGACACUGAGGUGCGAAAGCGUGGGGAGCAAACAGGAUUAGAAACCCCGGUAGUCC
rnacentral:rRNA from 1 species